ACGAACGCUGGCGGCAUGCCUAACACAUGCCAGUCGAACGAGACCUUCGGGUCUAGUGGCGCACGGGUGCGUAACGCGUGGGAACCUGCCCUUAGGUUCGGAAUAACUCCCCGAAAGGGGUGCUAAUACCGGAUAAUGUCUUCGGACCAAAGAUUUAUCGCCUUUGGAUGGGCCCGCGUUGGAUUAGCUAGUUGGUAGGGUAAAAGCCUACCAAGGCGACGAUCCAUAGCUGGUCUGAGAGGAUGAUCAGCCACACUGGGACUGAGACACGGCCCAGACUCCUACGGAAGGCAGCAGUGGGGAAUAUAGGACAAUGGGCGAAAGCCUGAGCCAGCAAUGCCGCGUGAGUGAUGAAGGCCUUAGGGUUGUAAAGCUCUUUUACCCGGGAUGAUAAUGACAGUACCGGGAGAAUAAGCUCCGGCUAACUCCGUG
rnacentral:rRNA from 1 species